GCUUGCAAAUAAGAGACGUCCGUCCUUAACCAAAAUAUGAAAAUAAAAAAAAAAAAAAAAAUUUGGGAACAGCCAUCCAUAAAUUUUGGACGACCGUCCCCUACGUUUGGACGGUCGUCCUUUACGUUAGACGCCCAUCCAUACUUUUGAAAAAAAAAAAAUUCUAAACAAAACUCUUCUUCUUCGUCUUCAUUUCCCUUCUCCUCUCUUUUUUUUCGUCUUCAUUCCCCAUUUCCUCUCUUCUUCUUCGUCCUUGUUUUAUUAGAUAUGCGUGCCAAAUCCAAAGACUCCGAAGUCCAGAAAACUACAAAAGCAAAACAGGGAAAACAAUUUCUCUUUUAAGAUCAAAGUUUGGUACUAAAACACCAUCAAAGAGCUUUAACGCCAUCAAAAUGGAAGGGAACAGCGACACUGUACCAAUGAUUGUAGUUUACGUUACUGUACCUAACAAAGAAGCAGGAAAGAAGCUGGCUGAAAGCAUAGUGAAAGAGAGGCUUGCAUGCAGCAUGCAGCAUGUGUAAACCGGGCCUAGUUAGUAAAUACGGG